GUCCAACAUGCGCUUUCGUAUUGCCCAAUUCCAUACACACCAAAGAGAAAAGAAAAAGAAAAUUCUUCCCGCGAAAACAAUCGCCCACCAAUUUUCGAUUUCUCUAUUCAGUAUUUUCUAUUUUUAUUUAAUUUAUUUUGCAUGAUUUAGUUCUCCAUAAACAAUUUUACUGAAUAGAGAACGAUCAAUAAUUUUGCAGCAAUGAUUUGCCACUUCUCGCCGUUGAUUAACGGCGAGAGAGCGGUGGUUAUACUUUUUAUUGGUUGCAUUUUGUUCUCUCUCCCUCUCUCUCUAGUCUUGCACGGCGUCGUUCUCUCAAUAAUCGCUCUCUUCGCUCUCUGCACCGAGAUAUGCUCCGAGACUUGUUCCAAUUCUCUUUCUCAGUUCAAAACCAGGCCUGGUGCUUCCUCAGGGAUCUUUCUAGGUGCAAUUACAUUACCAGCUGUUAUGCUCUCGAAAUUGAUACAGCUUUCAAGAGCUUUCUCAUUGCAUCAAAUUGAAUCUGGAGAACUUAAUUAUCUAGCGAUGCAAUAUUGGGCGACAUCUGCUAUCUGCAUGAGUGUACUUAUCUUCCUCUGCUCAGUCAUGCGGUAUUCAAUGGACAACCAAGAAGACCACCCGCAACAUAGGCCAUCGGAUGCGAAAUUUAGCUUAAGCUGCAUUCUUUUAUGUGCAACGAUUUUCGUUUUGUUUACUAUUGGUAUGCAAACAACACUGGAAUUAAUGUGGGUGCUCUUUCAUGGAUUUGCAGCAGUGAAGUUAGUGCAGCAUCUACUUCAUACUUUUCCAUCAUGUGCUUCCAUAGGGGAAGCACUUCUGGUGACUAUGGGUCUUGUUAUCUACUUUGCUGACAUGGUGGCCUGUACCAUCGUAAAGCUUCAUGGAUAUUGGACAUCAUCAGAGUCAGUUCCCAUAGUGUAUGGAAUCAAAAGAAGUGAGAUUAGUACUCUAAUUCAGGGACUACUUCUUGGUCUUCUUCUCUUCCCAAUUGUGUUUAAAUUUUUUUUACAUAUAUGGAAUUGCGCUUUCUGUCGAACAAGCUCUGGACCGGGGGCAUUUAGUGAGAGAGGAAGAGCUUUCUUAUUUUUUUCUUCCCUUGGUCUUUUCAUGGUUUUGAUAAUUCCUUCAUGGAUGCAGUUUGUUCAGGAUUUUCAAGUGCAUCCAUUGUUAUGGGUGGUAUCAUUUGUCUUUUCGGAACCAGUUAAAAGACUUUCUUUGUCUGUCUACUGGGUUUGUGUGAUAUAUGCAUCUGUUCUGAGGUUUUACAACAUAUCAAAGAGUAGUAAGAUUGAGAGGAUUCUUCUUCGAAAAUAUUACCAUCUGAUGGCUGUUUUAAUGUUCCUGCCUGCUGUUAUCUUCCAGCCAAAGUUUCUUGACCUUGCUUUUGGUGCGGCCUUGGCAGUUUUCUUGACAUUAGAAAUCAUUCGAGUAUGGAGAAUUUGGCCUUUGGGACAACUCAUACAUCAAUUUAUGAAUGCAUUCACAGACCAUCGUGACUCUGACCUCCUUAUUGUCAGCCACUUCUCGCUUUUGUUGGGAUGCGCACUCCCUAUUUGGAUGUCUUCUGGGUACAAUGAUCGACCUCUUGCUCCUUUUGCUGGAAUUUUGAGCCUUGGAAUUGGAGAUACAAUGGUGAGCCUGCUUGUUGCUAUGCGUCAAUGGUUGGGCACAAAUACGGCGUCCUUAGGUGGAGUAAAAGCGGGAAGAAAACCAUUGAAGGCACUGCAGCUGGUAUAACAUCAGUCCUGGUUGCAUGCUCUGUUUUGCUUCCAAUUCUAGCAUCCACUGGAUAUAUUCUCACCCAGCAUUGGGUCUCUCUUCUCCUAGCGGUGAUUGUGAGUGGUAUGUUGGAGGCCUACACGGCACAACUUGAUAAUGCUUUUAUACCACUUGUGUUCUACAGUCUUCUAUGUUUGUAAAAUACAAACUGUCAUCAUAAAUUAAAGUAUAUUAACAGCUCAAUAAAGAAAUCCUUCUAACAAAUUCCAUGAUUUAUCUCCCUUGCUUAACUCGAGAAACAUUUUGUAGAUACAACCUAACCACAUUUACUGUAUGCAUAUUUUUUAUAGGUCGAGUUAUUCAUUAGAAUAGGCGUUAGGAUUGAGAAUGUUUCUUGUUGUAAUACUAGAUGUAGGCUUAGUAAUAGGGAAUUUUAGUUGCUUGCUUUGUUGUAUUAAUGUAAGCUCUAUAUAUAGAAAUUCCUUUCUGAAAAGUAGCUUGUGAAUUGUCCGACUUAUCUAAGAUUCUUUUAUUGAUUAAUUUGGAGAGAAUGCAAUAUGCAUUCAAUAAUUUUACAA